rnacentral:misc_RNA from 1 species
GUAGGUGAACCUGCGGAAGGAUCAUUAUCGUAGGGCUUCGGCCCUGUCGAGAUAGAACCCUUGCCUUUUUGAGUACCUUUCGUUUCCUCGGCAGCCUCGGCUGCCAAUGGGGACCCCAAUAAACCCUUUGUAAUACCUGUAAUCGUCUGACAAAACAAACAAAAAUUAAAACUUUCAACAACGGAUCUCUUGGUUCUGGCAUCGAUGAAGAACGCAGCAUCUGACUGACUGAACUGUAUCUCAUCUCGUA